rnacentral:lncRNA from 1 species
UUGACUACUAAUCAAGUCUAACUUGAACUUUCACCUUCACCCCAACUCUGAUUUAGUGAUCCAUUCUCAUAUGCGAAACCAAAUCACUUCUCACCUCUUUAACCUAAACGAAAAAAUCACAGCCGCAAAACAUGCGCUUAUGUUUGGAUUGAGAUGAAUGAAUGUGAAUGCAUGGUUUAAAAUGUAAAUGGAAUUUGGUUUG